CCUACGGGAGGCAGCAGUGAGGAAUAUUGGUCAAUGGACGAGAGUCUGAACCAGCCAAGUCGCGUGCAGGAUGACUGCCCUAUGGGUUGUAAACUUCUUUUAUACGGGGAUAAACUGAUACACGCGUGGCUUUUUGUAAGUAUCCUAUGAAUAAGGAUCGGCUAACUCCGUGCCAGCAGCCGCGGUAAUACGGAGGAUUCGAGCGUUAUCCGGAUUUAUUGGGUUUAAAGGGAGCGUAGGCGGUUUGUUAAGUUAGUGGUGAAAGUUUGCGGCUCAACCGUGGAAUUGCAGUUGAAACUGGCAGGCUAGAGAACAGGUGAGGUGGGCGGAAUGCGUGGUGUAGCGGUGAAAUGCUUAGAUAUCACAAAGAACUCCGAUUGCGAAGGCAGCUCACUAAGCUGCCUCUGACGCUGAGGCUCGAAAGUGGGGGUAUCAAACAGGAUUAGAUACCCCAGUAGUC
rnacentral:rRNA from 1 species